GUCAGCAUGGUGUAGUGGUUUCAGUGUUGGACUACAGCUCAGGAGACCAGGGUUCGAUUCCCAGCUCAGCCA